GAAUAUAUGAUGCAUUCAUCUUUAAGUGUCAUAGUUCUUAUAAGUGGAUUCCCUUGUAUGGGACUCGUCAUGGAACUUUUGAUGUUAACUAUGUGGAUCGCAGUAACAGCAACAACUAACCAUGACUUACAUAGUCUCACUUUACUUCCUUGAGACCUCCAAAAGGAGAGCCUAAAUUCCCUUACAGAAGAUCUGAUGUCGCCCAAAAAUCAUCAUCUUGUUCAAAAUACAAUAAUUACUGCGAGUGUUGCUUGGAUAUUCUUGCUAGGACUACUCGUCCUUUGGCAUGUCGUUCGUCUAUUAUAUAAAUUGAUCAAGCAAAUAGUACGGUGUUGGGUUUUAGAAGUGUGGAGAACGGUUCAAUAAGGCUAAGGGGAUGCAUAGCUUUGGAAUUAAGCUAUGGAUUGUUUGCUUGGUGCGUGCAAAGCAACAAUGAAAGGUAAGGGCUGACUUCAAAUGAGCAUAUCUUAAGGUCUAGAAAUGAUAUUGAGAUGAUUAAAGUUUGAGGUUAUAGCUCAUCUCGAUUUGGUCAAGAAUCCAGGGAGUUAUGGUCGUUUUAUGAAGAGUUGUCUGUGCAGUGCGGAAGUUCGACAUAACUCUAGAAAAGUUUGGUCGAACCGUUUGAAGAAAUUAAACUGCUGCUACUGACAGCCUUGUCCGACCGAACAUUAGGUAAGUUCGACCAAUCUACCCUUAGUUCGGUCUACAGGGGAUAGGUUCGGUCGAACCUCAUGCGUGCCCCUCACUACUAGAAAUAGGUCGUUUUCCGACAGAAUCGUUCCGAUGGACCUAAAAUUCCGUUGGAAAAUUCGAAUUUUCCGAUGAAUUUGGAUCCGUCAGAAUAUCCGUCGGAAAAGGUAUUUUCCGACAUAAAAUUCCUCAGAAUUAUUCCGUCAGAAGUAUGUAUUUCCAACAGAAUUUCAUUUCGUCAGAAUUAAUUAAAACAUAACCAAGCUUGUUUCAUUGUAAUUCACGAAAAGAAACAAAAAAGGGGAAGAGUGAGAAAAAGCAAAUGGGAGAAAGAUAAAGAGAAAGAGAAAAAGAAAGAGGAAGUGGAAGAGGACCGGCGACCACCAGAUCCGCCGCAACCACCAGCUUACACCGCCUUGAUUCCUUGGCCGCUGAUCAGUAAUUAAGUGUAGUUAAUUUUGUGAUUUUUUUUUACUUUUUUUUUCGGAUCCCUAACCAGAAUCACUGUUUUUGCAGCCACCCCCGUUCCUCCUUCAUCGCUGCCACCUGAGCCAGCUUCUGCCGCCCUUGACGCCACUGUGAGGCACCACCGACGCCACCUCCGAUCCAUCAAGCUACCUCCGACCUCCUCCCCUCCGUCGCCGCGAUCAGAACCACCACCUUUUUCCUAUGCUGAAACUUCCGCCACUACCAACGCCACCUCCACCAAGCUUGUCGUGCAGCCACCACCAAGUUUAUAUCUACCUAUAGUGAGUUCCUUUUCCCCUUUUGUUUCAAUUCAAUUUUAUUUUGGUAUAAUAAUAAACCCUUUUAUAUUUUUUUUACUUUUAAUUUUUUGUAGGAUUUGUACAAUUAGUGGGUAUAUUGUCACAUUACAAACCCUUAUACAAUGCAUGUUAGUUUAGUUUAGUGUAUUUUAAUAUAAUGUAGUUUAAUUUAGUUUAGGUUUAUGUAAUGUAUGUUAGUUUAGUUUAAUAUUAUGAUAUGUUAGUUUGGUUUGGUUUAGAUUUAUCAGCGGUUUUCCGUGCUAGCGACAUUUAUUAUCGGUUUUGAGGAUAACACUAUGGAUUUCUUUCACGGCAACCACAUACAUGAACUCAGUAAUCAGACUAACUUAUAAAGGAGGCGGAAUUUUGUUUGCAUUAGGGAUUUCUCUCAUAGCUUGGCUAGCGUUAAUGGGAACUAUAGUUGUUGCACAUGUUGUGCGAUUCAUAUAGAAGAUUAUUAGUUGGCAAAGGAGGCAAUCAAUAAUAAGAUUUUACAAGAUGUGUUAUCCGAGAAGGUCAAAAAACACUACAAAUGAAUCAAAUUUGAUCAACGGCGUAUGAUAGUCUCAACACAAGGUGCGUCGUCUUUACAGUCAUUGGCUCGUCGCGUUCUAAUUCAGCCAUGUUUGUUUCCCGGUUGUUAAAUAAUAAUGUACGAGUAGUACUUUAAUUGAUUAGAUUUCACGCAAUAAGCAUCAUUUUAUUCGAUCAUGUACCAUCUUCAUAAUUAGCUUGUAUGUGAAAGUUUGUUAUUUUACAUUGUAUGUGAAAUAUAUGAGCAAACAUCAAUUAUAAUUGGCCUA